rnacentral:rRNA from 1 species
CGGCGUGUUUAAGACAUGCAAGUCGCACGGGAAUAUUUUGGUAUUUAUAUUAAAAUAUUCUAGUGGCGCACGGGUGAGUAACACGUGAAUUACAUGCCCUAUAGUGGGGAAUAGCCCAGGGAAACUUGGAUUAAUACCCCAUGGUCUCGCAAGAGUAAAGGUGGCCGCAAGGCUGUCGCUAUAGGAUUGGUUCGCGCCCUAUCAGCUUGUUGGCGAGGUAACGGCUCACCAAGGCUACGACGGGUACCUGGUUUGAGAGGACGAUCAGGCACACUGGAACUGAGACACGGUCCAGACACCUACGGGUGGCAGCAGUCGAGAAUAAUUCACAAUGGGGGCAACCCUGAUGGUGCAACGCCGCGUGGAGGAUGACGGUCUUCGGAUUGUAAACUCCUGUCAUCUGGGAGUAAGACCUGGCAGUUAAUAGCUGACAGGGUUGAUAGUACCAGAAGAGGAAGGGACGGCUAACUUCGUGCCAGCAGCCGCGGUAAUACGAAGGUCCCGAGCGUUGUUCGGAAUCACUGGGCGUAAAGGGAGCGUAGGCGGCGUGGUAAGUCAGAUGUGAAAUCCCGAGGCUCAACCUCGGAACUGCAUCCGAUACUGCCGUGCUAGAGUGAUGGAGAGGUAGCUGGAAUUCUUGGUGUAGCAGUGAAAUGCGUAGAUAUCAAGAGGAACACUCGUGGCGAAAGCGAGCUACUGGACAUUUACUGACGCUGAGGCUCGAAGGCUAGGGUAGCGAAAGGGAUUAGAUACCCCUGUAGUCCUAGCAGUAAACGGUGCACGCUUGGUGUGAGGGGAAUCGACCCCCCUUGUGCCGGAGCUAACGCGUUAAGCGUGCCGCCUGGGAAGUACGGUCGCAAGACUAAAACUCAAGAAUUGACGGGG